GAUGAACGCUGGCGGCGUGCUUAACACAUGCAAGUCGAACGGUGAAGGCGGAGCUUGCUCUGCUGGAUCAGUGGCGAACGGGUGAGUAACACGUGAGCAAUCUGCCCCUGACUCUGGGAUAAGCGCUGGAAACGGCGUCUAAUACUGGAUACGAGCUGCGAAGGCAUCUUCAGGGGUUGGAAAGAAUUUCGGUCUGGGAUGAGCUCGCGGCCUAUCAGCUUGUUGGUGAGGUAAUGGCUCACCAAGGCGUCGACGGGUAGCCGGCCUGAGAGGGUGACCGGCCACACUGGGACUGAGACACGGCCCAGACUCCUACGGGAGGCAGCAGUGGGGAAUAUUGCACAAUGGGCGAAAGCCUGAUGCAGCAACGCCGCGUGAGGGACGACGGCCUUCGGGUUGUAAACCUCUUUUAGCAGGGAAGAAGCGAAAGUGACGGUACCUGCAGAAAAAGCGCCGGCUAACUACGUG
rnacentral:rRNA from 1 species